GCAAAGGUGGCGGUGACAGGUGCGUGAUCUGACCAUGUCCGUAUAGGGCUACGGACAUGGUCAGAUCACGCACCUGUCACCGCCACCUUUGC